UGGCUCAGUUGGUAGAGUGCAUGCCUUGAAAGCAUAAGGCCCUGGGUUUGAUCCCCAG
rnacentral:tRNA from 1 species